rnacentral:rRNA from 1 species
AUUGAACGCUGGCGGCAGGCCUAACACAUGCAAGUCGAGCGGAUGAAGGGAGCUUGCUCCUGGAUUCAGCGGCGGACGGGUGAGUAAUGCCUAGGAAUCUGCCUGGUAGUGGGGGAUAACGUCCGGAAACGGGCGCUAAUACCGCGUACGUCCUGAGGGAGAAAGUGGGGGAUCUUCGGACCUCACGCUAUCAGAUGGGCCUAGGUCGGAUUAGCUAGUUGGUGGGGUACAGGCCUACCAAGGCGACGAUCCGUAACUGGUCUGAGAGGAUGAUCAGUCACACUGGAACUGAGACACGGUCCAGACUCCUACGGGAGGCAGCAGUGGGGAAUAUUGGACAAUGGGCGAAAGCCUGAUCCAGCCAUGCCGCGUGUGUGAAGAAGGUCUUCGGAUUGUAAAGCACUUUAAGUUGGGAGGAAGGGCAGUAAGUUAAUACCUUGCUGUUUUGACGUUACCAACAGAAUAAGCACCGGCUAACUUCGUG